rnacentral:rRNA from 1 species
GACGAACGCUGGCGGCGUGCCUAAUACAUGCAAGUCGAACGCAGUGGGGACGGGUGAGUAACACGUGGGUAACCUCCCAUCAGAGGGGAUAACACUUGGAAACAGGUGCUAAACCGAUACUGAUGGAUGAACCCGCGGUGCAUUAGCUAGUUGGUGAGGUAACGGCUCACCAAGGCCACGAUGCAUAGCCAGCCGGAGGGGUUGGUGGGCCAGACUGGGAAUGAGACAGGGCAAAGACUGCGAAGGGAGGCAGCAGUAGUGAAUGUUGGGAGAUGGACGAAAGGCUGACCUAGCCAGGCCGCUGGAGUGAAGAAGGUUUUCGGAGCGUAGAACUCUGUGGUUAGAGAAGCGGUAUCUAACCAGAAAGCCACGGAUAACUACGUGCCAGCAGCCGCGGUAAUUC